GACGAACGCUGGCGGCGUGCUUAACACAUGCAAGUCGAACGAAGUGGCGAACGGGUGAGUAACGCGUAAUCAACCUGCCCUUCAGAGGGGGACAACAGUUGGAAACGACUGCUAAUCCCGCAUACUGAAGGAGGGGAUUGCGUCUGAUUAGCUAGUUGGAGGGGUAACGGCCCACCAAGGGGAUGAUCAGUCGCCGGACUGAGGGGGUGAACGGCCAACUUGGGACUGGAACACGGCCCAGACUCCUACGGGAGGGAGCAGUGGGGAAUCUUCCGCAAUGGACGAAAGGCUGACGGGGCAAAGGCGGGUGAGUGGUGACGGCCUUCGGGUUGUAAAGCUCUGUUAAUCGGGGCGCGGUACCGGAAUAGAAAGCCACGGCUAACUACGUGCCAGCAGCCGCGGUAAUUC
rnacentral:rRNA from 1 species